GGCUUCGUCGCUCAGCUGGUAGAGCGCUUUCCGUGUUGAGGUACGGCGUUUCUGUCACUGGUUCGAAUCCAGCCGAAACCC
rnacentral:tRNA from 1 species